UGCCACCUUCGGGGGGCUGCAACAGCGGCGGGUCUGACCUGCUGCAAGAAAACGGAAGACAGAAA
rfam:Roseovarius marisflavi strain DSM 29327 genome assembly, contig: Ga0131176_122